rnacentral:lncRNA from 1 species
UCUCCCACCGCCAAGCUACUCCCCGAACCACCUCUGGGCACAGAUGCAUUUCUUGGCCGCCGCUACGCCUUACUUUGUUAUGGUGAACUCAACACCGACAACCAAGCUCGACCCGGGAUCAUUCACAACUGCACCGCCCCUGUCUUCGACGCCUCUGAAACCGAGAAAUGGUGGGCUCUUAUCACGUGCCCGGGAUAGCCAGCAUGGGUGGUGAUUAGUGAUACAUCUUAGACGUAUCUACUUUUCCGAACACUUUUGCUAUGUUUUUUGUCCACUAAGUUGCAU